AUUGAACGCUGGCGGCAGGCUUAACACAUGCAAGUCGAGCGGGGGAGRUUGCUUCGGUAAUUGACCUAGCGGCGGACGGGUGAGUAAUACUUAGGAAUCUGCCUAUUAAUGGGGGACAACAUCUCGAAAGGGAUGCUAAUACCGCAUACGCCCUACGGGGGAAAGCAGGGGAUCACUUGUGACCUUGCGUUAAUAGAUGAGCCUAAGUCGGAUUAGCUAGUUGGUGGGGUAAAGGCCUACCAAGGCGACGAUCUGUAGCGGGUCUGAGAGGAUGAUCCGCCACACUGGGACUGAGACACGGCCCAGACUCCUACGGGAGGCAGCAGUGGGGAAUAUUGGACAAUGGGGGGAACCCUGAUCCAGCCAUGCCGCGUGUGUGAAGAAGGCCUUAUGGUUGUAAAGCACUUUAAGCGAGGAGGAGGCUCUCUUGGUUAAUACCCAAGAAGAGUGGACGUACUCGCAG
rnacentral:rRNA from 1 species